GUAAAACCUCUCCUUGCCAAAGAGAAGACGCGAGUUCGAUUGCCGCUAUCCGCC
rnacentral:tRNA from 1 species